UUCAGCAUUGCAUUAGUAUACAAGAGACUGACGCCACCAGUGCUUUAUUUGCUUUUAGUAUAAAUUUCGUGGUACUACUUAAAAAUUAGGGGGAAAAAAAUCUGUGGGACAUGACAAAGGCUGCACAAAGGCUUUAACACUUUAGGGCACACACACCACCACAUAUCACAAAAGGCACAGAAGAAGGUAUCUUUUUUACAUGUCCUUUGAAUGUCCAGUCUGAUAGCAGGUGUUUGGGUGCACCAAAGCACACACACAGCUGUGUUUGCCUGUGUGUGCCUCUGACGCUACACACGCCGCUGAGGCCCGGCACAAGCUGCACGUCCCUGUGUACUUCAGGACAUUGGAAAACUUAUACCGUAGGAACUUCUGAACAGGAAGGCAUACAAAUGAUAAACUCUAACUGCAAGUUGCCUUUUGUUCCACUGAGAAAGGCUCCAUUAGGCAGCGGGGUGUGGGAAAACAAAAGCGCGACGCGCCCAGGCCGAGUCCGCGGCUGCGCGCGGGGCCGGGCGGGCAGAGCCCCUCAGCGCUGGCGCAGCUCCCCUCACGUAGGGCCGCAGUCCCGCGCCAGCGCAGCUCGGCUGCCACACACGGCACUUCUACAGUUACGGCCUUCCCAGAAAGACUCCUUUGCACUUGUACAGGCAGCGAAGAGGAGAAAAAUAAGCCCGCCCAAAGGAGGAGAUGCAGAUCUGCAGAAGAUUAUUUGUAAAGACUUCACUUGGAGGAUAGCAUGGAAGAUCUCCAGUACAGAAAAGCAGCUGAGGAAAAAAAAGUUUACUGAAUAGAACAAAAGUCAGUGCCUGCCAUUCUGUUGAUUUCUUGGAAGACUGGGACAGGUAAUUAACAGAGAGCCAAAAGCCAAGUAGAAAUCAGAAGUCCUGCACACAGGAACAAAGAAACAAGCUUAUACAAUGUUGAAAGGAACAACAAGCUAGAGUCAAAAUUUGGAAACAGCAGCUUAGUAAAGAGCAGUGGAUGAAGUCAUCAUGUAAUUCAAAAGUGGGAGAGAGAGUACCUCUGCAACAGCACUGUUCAAAGAUUGUUGAGACUAAUGUCAAAAAGAUAAUAACCCAAAGGAAGAGGUUGCAGUAGCUUAUGUGAUACAUGAGAAACUUCACAAAUUGUUAUGAAAUAAUUCUGGAAACGAAUGCAAAGAUUAAGUGAGAAAGAUACCUAACUAGAAACUUCCCCAACAUAUAGAACUCUACUUUCCAAAAAUCAUCAUGUGGUUCCAAUGGCUUUUCUUUUUUAAACAAAACAGCAAUUCAAAAUAAUCUCCAGUAAAAAGAAUAUUUGAGAAGCUGGACAAAGGGAAGAGUCGAAAAUGGCUCUAGGAUUAUGUGACUGUAGCAAUAGUGUAACAAACUCACUGCCACCACAGAGUAGGUUCAGGGAAGGGAAGGUUGGCCAGUGAUGGGGGCUAACACUGAGCAUCAGCAGUGGGAGAUCCAGAAGAUGUCAGAAAGAGAUUUACAGGUGUAACACUGAGCAGAAUGAGAAGAUGCCAGAUUUUUGGAGUUAUUUGUGGGAAACCAAAUGGUAGUUGAAAUCAAAAGUUUCCUUAAGGUCCCAAAGAGUAGAACAACAAGAGAAGUGCAAAGUGACAAUGGCCGGGGAAGAACUUCACAGAGCAAUUGAUUAAAAGAAGAAAAAAAAUAGUUCUUAAGUGUGGGAAGUAGAGAGCCAUCAAUCACCUUUUUGUGAAUAUUGUGAGUGGACAGAAACCAUGGAAACUGAAGAGAUGAAAGAGGAAGCUGAGGCAACACAAACAGCUUUAGGAACUGAGAGGAAAAUAUGAAAAUUGACAUAGACAUAAAGGGAGAAGCACAAGGAUGAUAGAUGAUGUGCUGUACUGUAGGUGUUACAUAUGAACCGUCCACAACUGAAACGGGAGCAAUUCCUGUUUUAUGUGACAUUGACGAAGAAAUUUGGUUUGACCUGUAACAGUUCUCUCCUGUUUUGGAACAUUUCAAUUUAGUAACAAUAAAAAUCCCUAUGAAUCCUAAAUGCAA